rnacentral:rRNA from 1 species
GCAAGUCGAACGGAAAGGCCCGCUUGCGGGUACUCGAGUGGCGAACGGGUGAGUAACACGUGGGUGAUCUGCCCUGCACUUCGGGAUAAGCCUGGGAAACUGGGUCUAAUACCGGAUAGGACCGCAUCGUAGGUGGUGUGGUGGAAAGAUUUAUCGGUGCAGGAUGAGCUCGCGGCCUAUCAGCUGGUUGGUGGGGUAAUGGCCUACCAAGGCGUCGACGGGUAGCCGGCCUGAGAGGGUGGACGGCCACAUUGGGACUGAGAUACGGCCCAGACUCCUACGGGAGGCAGCAGUGGGGAAUCUUGCACAAUGGGCGGAAGCCUGAUGCAGCGACGCCGCGUGGGGGAUGACGGCCUUCGGGUUGUAAACUCCUUUCGCCAGGGACGAAGCCGUGAGGUGACGGUACCUGGAUAAGAAGCACCGGCUAACUACGUGCCAGCAGCCGCGGUAAUACGUAGGGUGCGAGCGUUGUCCGGAAUUACUGGGCGUAAAGAGCUCGUAGGUGGUUUGUCGCGUCGUCUG